rnacentral:rRNA from 1 species
UACAGAGGUCCCAAGCGUUGUUCGGAUUCACUGGGCGUAAAGGGUGCGUAGGUGGUGAGGUAAGUCGGAUGUGAAAGCUCGGAGCUCAACUCCGAAAUGGCAUUGGAAACUACCUUGCUCGAGGGUUGGAGGGGGGACUGGAAUACUUGGUGUAGCAGUGAAAUGCGUAGAUAUACGGAGGAACACCAGCGGCGAAGGCGGGUAGCUGGGCCAACACUGACGCUGAUGUGCGAAAGCUAGGGUAGCAAACGGG